ACGUUGAACCACCUGUUCUCAUAUGAUCACCGAAGUUAAACAACGUCGAACCUGGUCAGUACCUAGAUGGGUGACCGCGUGGGAAUACCAGGUGCUGUAAG